CUAUAGCUGGAGUGUGGCAGUAUUUUACUUAUUAAAUAACUUUUAUGUGGUAUGAUUUGACUAGAAAUAUUUACGAGCAACAGAGAUGUUGAUGAUACGAGCAAAACAAGCACAUGUUGUAAAUCUUUAGUUCGUCAUGUGGCAUUCAUUCUCACUGUUCUUGUUUAACCAGCAUGUAAACUAAUUCAUGAUUUUUUUUCUCUUUCCAAUUAGUCUGAUUGGUGAUAUUUUUCUCUGUUAUCUUUCUCUCAGAUAAUCUAUAUUCUAUUUGAUAUUAAAUACCUAGAUCUGGCAGCAGAACAUUUAGUAUUACGUAUGUUUUAUCUUUUCAUUUAGUAUUACGUAUUGUUUCAAACAACAAUAUAAUGUUCCACCUUAAUGAUCCUUUGGCUGAGGACCUGAUGAGUUUUUAUGAGAGAAUGGGGGACACCUUGGCACACCAAUAUUGUGGCUCAGCAGGAAUGUUUUCAUUUAUUUUGCUUUUACUUAUAUUUUCUCAGAGAAGGGGGCAAUGGAAAGCGGCAACUCAGUCUCAGGAAUUCUUCAGAACUCUUCAACGUUAUUACAGUAAUGCAUACAUGGAUGCAGAGAAGCAAGAUGCUAUUAAUGUGUAAGUUUACCACAUUAAGUAUCAUUCUUGUAACUAACACCUUGGAAGCGGAGUCCUUUUUUAGAAUAAAUAUUCUGAUAUCUGAAUGUAAUAAGAUUUGUAAUGGGAAAUUGUUUUAUCUGCUGAGUUUUAUGGGCCAUGUCUUAUUCAAACAUUGUUGCUGCCUCAUUAGAAACAAUUAGUUUAUUUUACUCUUCUUUUCAUGAUCGGUAAAGGCCUUUGUUGGUUGUGUGAAAAAAUUAGUGUGCUGCAUGCUGUUUGUUAUUCUAUCAUUUAAAAUUGAUUAAUUUUCAUGUAAUUAGUACUUAGAGGAAAGAAGCAAUAGCUUACUCUCUAAUUCAGCUAAUUAACUGUAUUGAUCAUCUGUUUUAGUAGUAAGAGUAUGGAGAUUAGGUGAUCAAUUUUUUUCUUCUGAGUUUCAGAAUUGUUUAUAACAAUGAGUAUAAAGUACAAUAAAUUCAUCAUUCAAGCAGCUGAACCAAUGGAAGAUUAGGUAGAAGUUUCACUAUACUCUUUUUAGUUUUUCUAAUAAUAUUCCAUAUAUUAAGACUU